rnacentral:misc_RNA from 1 species
AACGCACAUUGCGCCCGCCAGUAUUCUGGCGGGCAUGCCUGUUCGAGCGUCAUUUCAACCCUCAAGCCCCUCUGGGUUUGGCGUUGGGGAUCGGCCCCGCACUCCGGCGGCCGGCCCCGAAAUGCAUUGGCGGUCACACCGCGGCUUCCUCUUGCGUAGUAGCAAACACCUCGCACCAGGGACGCGGCGCGGCCACGCCGUACAAUCAGACGACUUUCUGAAAGGUUGACCUCGGAUCAGGUAGGAAUACCCGCUGAACUUAA